ACUCAAAUGAAUAGACGGGGACCCGCACAAGCGGUGGAGCAUGUGGUUUAAUUCGACGCUACGCGAAAAACCUUACCUGGGCUCGAACGACUGGUGUUAGUUCUGUAGAAAUACGGGAUGACCCGCAAGGGAGCCAGCCGAGGUGCUGCAUGGUUGUCGUCAGCUCGUGUCGUGAGAUGUUGGGUUAAGUCCCGCAACGAGCGCAACCCCCGUCCCAUGUUGCUACCCCGCAAGGGGAGGACUCUUGGGAGACUGCCGCGGAUAACGUGGAGGAAGGUGGGGAUGACGUCAAAUCAUCAUGGCCUUUAUGUCCAGGGCUACACACGUGCUACAAUGGUGCAAAACAGAGGGACGCAAGAGCGCAAGCUGGAGCAAAUCCUUAAAGUGCACCUCAGUUCAGAUCGCGGGCUGCAAUUCGUCCGCGUGAAGGUGGAAUCGCUAGUAAUCGCGCAUCAGAAAUGGCGCGGUGAAUACGUUCCCGGGUCUUGUACACACCGCCCGU
rnacentral:rRNA from 1 species